rnacentral:antisense_RNA from 1 species
UGUGGGAGCGGGCUUGCUCGCGAUUGCCUCAGCGCAAUGUUUCAGACAAACCGAGUCGCCAGCAUCGCGAGCAAGCCCGCUCCCACA